GAUUUGUCUGGUUUAUUCCGAUAACGAGCGAGACUCUAGCUUACUAAAUAGUCUGGUCUUUAUUACUGAGGCCUGACUUCUUAGAGGGAUUUUCGGUGUUCAGCCGCACGAGAUUGAGCAAUAACAGGUCUGUGAUGCCCUUAGAUGUCCGGGGCUGCACGCGCGCUACACUGGCGAAAUCAGCGUGCUUUUCCUAUCUCGAAAGAGAUUGGUAAACCGAUGAAAAUUUGCCGUGAUUGGGAUCGGAAAUUGCAAUUAUUUUCCGUGAACGAGGAAUUCCAAGUAAGUGCGAGUCAUCAACUCGCGUUGAUUACGUCCCUGCCCUUUGUA
rnacentral:rRNA from 1 species